CUGGCUCAGAACGAACGCUGGCGGCGUGCUUAACACAUGCAAGUCGAACGCGAAAGGGACUUCGGUCCUGAGUAAAGUGGCGCACGGGUGAGUAACGCGUAGAUAACCUGUCUUUAUGUCUGGAAUAAUACGCCGAAAGGGGUACUAAUACCGGAUAUUUUUGCAUUGCACAAGUGAUGUAAGCAAAGGUGGCCUCUGACAUAAGCUACUGCAUAAAGAGGGGUCUGCGUACCAUUAGCUAGUAGGUGGGGUAAAGGCCUACCUAGGCUACGAUGGUUAGCGGGUCUGAGAGGAUGAUCGCCACACUGGCACUGGAACACGGGCCAGACUCCUACGGAGGCAGCAGUGAGGAAUAUUGCGCAAUGGGGGCAACCCUGACGCAGCGACGCCGCGUGAGUGAGGAAGGCCUCGGGUCGUAA
rnacentral:rRNA from 1 species